CUGAAAUGAUCAUCGACUUGACACUGACGGGAGGAGAUGAGUAAUGGAAUUCUACUUCUACCAUAUUAACUGCUUAAAAAAGAACGUUAGCAGAAUGCUAAAAGAUGCAUGAAGCAUGGAUAUGCUCUCAUCAUCCUCUUGGUUGUCCUCUUUCUGAACAAAGUUGAUCAAAUAACAGCUUUAUGAUUGCAGUUCUACAUGAUGCUCUGUUAUCACAUAAUGUCCUUCAAACUCUGAGUAGGACCUAUGUCCUAGGACCAUGCCUCAGGACUACCUGGCCUGAUGACUCCUUGUUGUCCCCAGUCCACCUGGUCAUGCUGCUGCUCCAGUUUCAACUGUUCUGCCUGCGGCUAUGGAACAAUGACCUGUUCACUGGACGUGCUACCUUGUCCCGGACCUGCUGUUUUGGACCCUCUCUCUACCGCACCUGCUGUCUCUAACUCUGAGUGAUCGGCUAUGAAAAGCCAACUGACAUUUACUCCUGAGGUGCUGACCUGUUGCACCCUCUACAACCACUGUGAUUAUUAUUAUCUGACCUUGCAGGUCAUUUAUGAACGUUUGAGCAUCUUGGCCAUGUUCUGUUAUAAUCUCCACCCGGCACGGCCAGAAGAGGACUGGCCACCCCUCAGAGCCUGGUUCCUGUCUAGGUUUCUUCCUAGGUUCUGGCCAUUCUAGGGAGUUUUUCCUAGCCAACGUGCAUCUAGAUCUACAUUGCUUGUUUGGGGUUUUAGGCUGGGUUUCUAUACAGCACUUUGUGACAUCGGCUGAUGUAAAACGGGCUUUAUAAAUACAUUUGAUUGAUUUAUUGAUUUAACUUUUUUGGUUACUACAUGAUUCCAUAUGUCUUCACUAUUAUUUUACAAUGCAGAAAAGAGUAAAGAUAAAGAAAAACCCUUGAAUGAGUAGGUGUAUCCAAACUUUUGACCGGCACUGUAUAUAAAAUAUAGGAAAAUCACUUUUUUGACUGCACUGGGCUUUUAAUGUCAAUUUGCUUCCUUGUACUCUUAUUUCCAUCCUUCUAUUGAAUUGGAUGCAAUGGUGAUGCUAACUGUUUAUGGUAUUUUACAUAUAUGUUUUUUUUAAUCAA